rnacentral:rRNA from 1 species
GACGAACGCUGGCGGCGUGCUUAACACAUGCAAGUCGAACAGAAAGGCCCUGCUUUUGUGGGGUGCUCGAGUGGCGAACGGGUGAGUAACACGUGAGUAACCUGCCCUUGACUUUGGGAUAACUUCAGGAAACUGGGGCUAAUACCGGAUAGGAGCUCCUGCUGCACGGUGGGGGUUGGAAAGUUUCGGCGGUUGGGGAUGGACUCGCGGCUUAUCAGCUGGUUGGUGGGGUAGUGGCUUACCAAGGCUUUGACGGGUAGCCGGCCUGAGAGGGUGACCGGCCACAUUGGGGCUGAGAUACGGCCCAGACUCCUACGGGAGGCAGCAGUGGGGAAUAUUGCACAAUGGGCGGAAGCCUGAUGCAGCAACGCCGCGUGCGGGAUGACGGCCUUCGGGUUGUAAACCGCUUUCGCCUGUGACGAAGCGUGAGUGACGGUAAUGGGUAAAGAAGCACCGGCUAACUACGUG